rnacentral:rRNA from 1 species
GACGAACGCUGGCGGCGUGCUUAACACAUGCAAGUCGAACGGAAAGGCCCUGCUUUUGUGGGGUGCUCGAGUGGCGAACGGGUGAGUAACACGUGAGUAACCUGCCCUUGACUUUGGGAUAACUUCAGGAAACUGGGGCUAAUACCGGAUAGGAGCUCCUGCUGCAUGGUGGGGGUUGGAAAGUUUCGGCGGUUGGGGAUGGACUCGCGGCUUAUCAGCUUGUUGGUGGGGUAGUGGCUUACCAAGGCUUUGACGGGUAGCCGGCCUGAGAGGGUGACCGGCCACAUUGGGACUGAGAUACGGCCCAGACUCCUACGGGAGGCAGCAGUGGGGAAUAUUGCACAAUGGGCGGAGGCCUGAUGCAGCAACGCCGCGUGCGGGAUGACGGCCUUCGGGUUGUAAACCGCCUUCGCCUGUGACGAAGCGUGAGUGACGGUAAUGGGUAAAGAAGCACCGGCUAACUACGUG